rnacentral:pre_miRNA from 1 species
AUCACCUGGAGAUCUUGUUAAAGUGCAGAUUCUGAUUUAGUAUGCCUGGGACAGUUUCAAGAUUUUGCAUUUUUAACAAGUACUUAGGUGAUCCUGA